rnacentral:rRNA from 1 species
CGCAUCUGUGCAUGCAGCAUAUCAAUAAGCGGAGGAAAAGAAACUAACAAGGAUUCCCUUAGUAACGGCGAGUGAAGCGGGAAGAGCUCAAAUUUGAAAUCUUCAAGGUUUUACCUUGACGAAUUGUAGUUUAAAGAAGUGUUUUCUGUUGAAGUUUUGGUAAAAGUUCUUUGGAAUAGGACAUCAUAGAGGGUGAGAAUCCCGUAUUUGACCUUUACUUUCAACUUUGUGAUACACUUUCAAAGAGUCGGAUUGUUUGGGAAUGCAGUCCAAAAUGGGUGGUAAAUUUCAUCUAAAGCUAAAUAUUGGCGAGAGACCGAUAGCGAACAAGUACCGUGAGGGAAGGAUGAAAAGAACUUUGAAAAGAGAGUUAAACAGUACGUGAAAUUGUCAAAAGGGAAGCGUUUGACACCAGUGUUGUUUUUCUGAAAAUCAAUUAAAGAACUGUUUAUGCUAAGCUGUUUAGACUUUAUCAGCUAUCUGUUUAGUUUUGAGCUUUUCUUUAAUGCACUUUUCAGUUAACAAGUCAACAUCAAUUUCUUUUGCUGUAAAAAAGCUUGAGGAAGGUGGCUUGAGAUUCGUCUUAAGUGUUUAUAGCCUCUUGCCUAUGCAGUCGGAGAGAUUGAGGUCUGCAGCGUAGAUCCUUCGGGGCUAAAUGCAUUUGUGCUAAGUUAUAGCAUUUUAUAGACAACUUGUUGACUAUGAUUUGUCUUGUAGCUUACUCGCUUAUGUUAUUUUACCUACGCUUAGGAUGUUGAUAGUCACAGCGUGUAC